UACGUAGGUGGCAAGCGUUGUCCGGAUUUAUUGGGUUUAAAGGGUGCGUAGGCGGCUUUGUAAGUCAGUGGUGAAAUACGGCAGCUCAACUGGCGAGGUGCCAUUGAUACUGCAGAGCUAGAGUACUGAUGAGGUAGGCGGAAUGGACGGUGUAGCGGUGAAAUGCUUAGAUAUCGUCCAGAACACCGAUAGCGAAGGCAGCUUACUAAAGAGUAACUGACGCUGAGGCACGAAAGUGUGGGGAUCAAACAGG
rnacentral:rRNA from 1 species